UACAGAGGUCCCAAGCGUUGUUCGGAUUCACUGGGCGUAAAGGGUGCGUAGGCGGUGAGGUAAGUCGGAUGUGAAAUCUCCGAGCUCAACUCGGAAAUGGCAUUGGAAACUACCUUGCUCGAGGGUUGGAGGGGGGACUGGAAUGCUUGGUGUAGCAGUGAAAUGCGUAGAUAUCAAGCGGAACACCAGUGGCGAAGGCGAGUCCCUGGACAGCUCCUGACACUGAGGCACGAAAGCUAGGGGAGCAAACAGG
rnacentral:rRNA from 1 species